AGAGUUUGAUCCUGGCUCAGGAUGAACGCUAGCUACAGGCUUAACACAUGCAAGUCGCGGGGCAGCACUGGGAUUGCUUGCAAUCCCUGGUGGCGACCGGCGCACGGGUGAGUAACGCGUAUCCAACCUGCCCUGCAGUGGGGAACAGCCCGGCGAAAGUCGGAUUAAUGCCCCAUGGCGUCCUCGGCGGACAUCUAAUGAGGACUAAAGGCUUCUGCCGCUGCGGGAUGGGGAUGCGUAGGAUUAGGCAGGCGGCGGGGCAACGGCCCACCGCGCCGACGAUCCUUAGGGGUUCUGAGAGGAAGGUCCCCCACACUGGUACUGAGACACGGACCAGACUCCUACGGGAGGCAGCAGUGAGGAAUAUUGGUCAAUGGGCGCGAGCCUGAACCAGCCAAGUAGCGUGAGGGAAGACGGCCCUACGGGUUGUAAACCUCUUUUGUGCGGGGAUAAAGUUCACUACGCGUAGUGUUUUGCAGGUACCGCACGAAUAAGGACCGGCUAAUUCCGUGCCAUCAGCCGCGGUAAUACGGAAGGUCCGGGCGUUAUCCGGAUUUAUUGGGUUUAAAGGGAGCGCAGGCGGCCUUUUAAGCGUGACGUGAAAUGCCGGGGCUCAACCUUGGAAUUGCGUCGCGAACUGGCGGGCUUGAGUACGCUCGAGGCAGGCGGAAUUCGUGGUGUAGCGGUGAAAUGCUUAGAUAUCACGAGGAACCCCGAUUGCGAAGGCAGCCUGCCGGGGUGUUACUGUCGCUCAUGCUCGAAGGUGCGGGUAUCGAACAGGAUUAGAUACCCUGGUAGUCCGCACGGUAAACGAUGGACGCCCGCUGUUGGGCCUUUUGGUUCAGCGGCCAAGCGAAAGCGUUAAGCGUCCCACCUGGGGAGUACGCCGGCAACGGUGAAACUCAAAGGAAUUGACGGGGGCCCGCACAAGCGGAGGAACAUGUGGUUUAAUUCGAUGAUACGCGAGGAACCUUACCCGGGCUUGAACUGCGGCGGAGGGGCGCGGAGACGCGUCCGCCAGCGAUGGCCGCCGCGGAGGCGCUGCAUGGUUGUCGUCAGCUCGUGCCGUGAGGUGUCGGCUUAAGUGCCAUAACGAGCGCAACCCCUUUCCCCAGUUGCCAUCACUUCGGGUGGGCACUCUGGGGACACUGCCGCCGCAAGGUGCGAGGAAGGUGGGGAUGACGUCAAAUCAGCACGGCCCUUACGUCCGGGGCUACACACGUGUUACAAUGGCGCGUACAGAGGGCAGGCCGCCGGCGACGUCGGCCGAAUCCCGAAAACGCGUCUCAGUUCGGACUGGGGUCUGCAACCCGACCCCACGAAGCUGGAUUCGCUAGUAAUCGCGCAUCAGCCAUGGCGCGGUGAAUACGUUCCCGGGCCUUGUACACACCGCCCGUCAAGCCAUGAAAGCCGGGGGCGCCUGAAGUCCGUGACCGCGAGGGUCGGCCUAGGGUGAAACCGGUGAUUGGGGCUAAGUCGUAACAAGGUAACC
rnacentral:rRNA from 1 species